CAGGGAAGAAGGAAAAGUCUUGGAGGACCCAAGAGAAGACCAUAUCUGGAACUGUAUGUGGGCAAGAGGCUCUGAACAAUCAGCUUCUCAAGGACCGAGGCGCCUGGUCCCGAUUCCACCCUAUCAAAGCAUGUGAAAUGAGCGGCGGCCUCUCCAUCACCCUGGGAAAUGAAGCGGGGAGAGACUGAGCUCCAUUUAAUGAGGAUCAUCUGACUGCAGAAUCACCCUACAGGAGGUUAUAGCUCUGCCUGGAAAAUAUGAAUUCAAACCCUCCAAGCAUGAAAAAGAAAUAAGGAAAGAAGGGUGGGAGAGAGGAGAGAGAAAACAAAGAAAAGAAGAAAGAAGAAAAGACAGACUGUUGGAAAAUGGAGGAAAACUGAAAAAUGUCAUUGCUGAGUGUAAGAUGUGGGCCUAUCUGGACCCUGGUUAGGGAAGGCCACCAUCAGAAGACAUUGCAGAGAUGAUCCAAGAAAUGCAAAGCUGAACUACCUAGGAGAGGAGAGCAGGGAAUUUGUGUUCAUUGUCGUGGGUGCAGUAGCCGUGGUGUGGUGGCUGUAGGGAAAGAUAGGAAGGAAGGACUCCUUAUCAGUUAGAGAUGCUAGCUUCAGUAUUGACGGACAGAAUGUCACUUAAGUAUUUACAAACGGUAUGAUGCUGUUUACUUAGAAAUUUUUGCAGAAAAAUGGAAAAUCUUAAAAUUAAAUUAGGAAAGCUAGUCCAGUUACAACAGUAUCAGGAAGAAUAAAAUACUGAGAAAUCAAUUUAAGAAGUGAAAAUUAAAAGACAUUGUUGAAAGCAAUUAAAGAUGCCAAUAAUGGAAAUGUGGAUCAGAAGACGACUUCAUGUGGUUCCCAAAUUGGUAUACAGAUCCCAUGCAGUUCCUGUCAAGAUCCUAGUUGCCUUCUGUAAAAACUGAGAAGCAGAAACUAUGAGCCCAGAAUAAAACAAUCUAGAAAGAGAAAAAAGUAAAAAGAUUUACACUUCAUGACUUCAAAAUUUAUUACAGCCGGGUGA